AUGGCUAGUAAUUGGAGUUUCAAACAAUUUGGGGAGGUAAUUUGUAGCCAAUAUCCUUGGGGUUUGCUUGAUGAAGUGGUAUACAAAUACUAUGAUGGGGAAAAGAAAUGGGUGACAGUUAGUAAUGAUGAAGAGCUAGCUACCAUGUUUGUUAGGCAUAAAGAGAAAGAUAAUUUUCAUGUGAGGCUGCAAGUUGAUGUGCUUGAGCAGGCAUUUGGACCUAGGAUGAGGGUGCAACAUCUUGGGGAGAACCAAGUCGUUGUAAUGGCAUCUCUAGCCAGAACAGUUCAGUUGGUGCACGGCGACGUGGUGGCUCGACAAGUGUGGGCAACAGCAGUAGGGUCCCCCUUGAAGUGGAGCCUGAUGACUACAAUUCUGGGGUUGAUGAAGAGAAGUUAUAUUCUGAUGUUAUUCGGAAUUUACGAUGGGCACCUCGGGCUGAUAACCAAGAUGAGGCUCACAAUGCAGUCUGUGUGGAUGAUGACGUGGUGGGUGAGGACGAAGACCUUGCAGCUGUUGAAUGGGACCCUUUGA
rnacentral:rRNA from 1 species